AAAUAAGGAGCAUAAUUGGUGCAACCAGUUUCGACCUGGUUCUGAGAGUUGAAAACUUCUUAUUUG
rnacentral:tRNA from 1 species